GGCCCGCCGGGACCCCGCGCUGCAAGGGACGGGGCAACAUCCCCGGGAGCAGGCUGCAGCUGGGAAUCCCGGACGGGGUGGUGGUUCGGGAGGGCUGCAGCUGAAAAGCGUUUGGCACGCUUCCGGAGUGUGUCAGGACAAGGCUGGCACCAUGGUGCUCCAGGAACCGCGAGGAAAACCUUAGGAUUACAGCUGUAACGUGGCCACUUCCUCACUUACUGCCUUCAGUUUCAAACCUCCCAACCCAUCUGAAACGGAGCGAUGUCCCAGCAGGAUGCACUUAGCACAUCUGAUUGCUUAAUUAUUAUCUGCCUUUCCACACAGCUCGAAUCACAGCUUCACCUGCUCAUGUGGCACCCACAUGUGCUGUCCUGAACAUCAGAGUGUGAGCGGCUUGGGAUCACUGCCACUCUGGUAUCUUCUUCUUCUUCUGCCCUUGUUAAAGCUCCUCAUUCCCCUAGUUCCACUUUCAUAAGAUUGAAGGGACCUGAAAAUGAAUGAAAUUGCAGGUUCUCCACAGGCACUUCAGCCUAUUCCACUGCUAAAUGGCUAUAUUAACAGCUACAACAGAGCAAGGAAAGACUACAGUUUCAGCCUAAUACAGGAAGUCUUUAUGGAUUUCAUCUAUAUCAUUAGAAAAUACUGGAGUUGGACAGAGUCUUGAAGAGGACAGUGAGGCGGUGGUGGGACCUGUCUGGGGAUCUCCUGGCCCUGCUCUGGAGAGGAAACCAAGGAGAGUGUUGGCUGGCUCGCUGAGCCUCCUGGCUGGAUCUAACCUGUCACAUUUCUAAAACACCCAAGCAACUGCGGGUGUCUUUUAGAGGAAGUAAUUGCUGUUAGCAUUCUUUUCCUAUUGCUUUCUGACCAUCUCAAUACUUUCUUAAGGUGUUGCCUUAGCAGGAAUGUGAACUGUAUGUAGGCCUGAAGAAAAUUAACAGUGACUCAGAAAAUGAAAUUUAUCUGGAAAAACCGCAUUCCUCAGGAAUACAGUAUCAUGGAGACUUGAUUAUUUCUUCUUGUGGAAGGGGCCAAGGUGUUUUAUGAUAGCAUACAGUUGUAGCUGAGAUUGGCCUGUAGCCCAAUCAACUAGUCAUUCUUUUCUGGUAUAUUUCUGUAUCGGACUUGUGCUGAAAUGCCCACAGGAGAUUUGGGUAACUCUCUACAAAUGCUUUUGCAGGUAGUGAGUGUUAAUAUAAUUUAAAAAAUCUGUUGUUUUCCCACCCCUCUCCUUCUCUUCACCUCUCUUUGUGAAAAAGGUAAAUCAUUCAGGGGUUGCUUUCAGCGUAUACCAGUUUGUUGAAUUUACAGGAAGGGCUGCAGUUCCUCUGUGCACAUGAUGCUUUCUAAUACAUCACAGAUUUCUAAAAAAAAAACAACUAUAAAGAACUUAUAUGAAACAAACAAACAAAAAAUACUUUCCUCUCAAAAUAUCCACAUAGAAAAAUGCUAUGUAGCUAAGCAUGCUAGUACAACUCCACCAGAAACUUGUGGACCAGAUUAUGCUCACUGAAUUUUGGAUAUUCUUUUAAAAAAUGAGGGCAUAAGGCUCCUUCUUUCUUCUACCAGCAGAAGUUGAAAAACCUAGACAUAUUUAGCUGUCAGCUGCCUAAGGAAAUGUCACUUACCAAUGUUUAGGAUGAUAGAUUGCAUCCUUUAGAAGUGCCAUUCUCUCUCCUUCCUCUCUAAGGAGAUCCAUUCUCAAUUUUUUUACCCUUAAAACCUAAAAGAAUCAUAACAAAAGCUUCUCACUUAAUUCAUCACUUCCACUUCCUCCAUUUUGGGAGCAUUUACAUAACAUAAAAUGUGGUGCUUGUGGCACUCUGCUAUUUCCCUGCAUAUGAGUUUAGAAUCCGCUACACUGGUCAGACAAGCAGAACCACUUUAUAAAAAAAUUUUUAAAAUAGAAUCCUGUCUCAACUGCUCUUAGAAAUACCUGUGUGAAAAGAGUUUCUCCCUUUCUCCCACACUUAAAAUUAUUCCUAAAGUGAUGAAAAUGCUUUUGGAUUAUUGGCAUUCAAAGGUAAAUAAGACCAGAAAAAUCAGAAGUCUAAGUGACCAACCUCCUAUAAUCUCACAUCAAAAGGUUUGAAAUAUUCAAGACUAUUCAUGAAUACAUAAAUUAAUAUUGGGAAUCAUGUAAUGCCCAAGAUUGCCAGGAUAGUGGUGAAAACAGCCCAAGCCCAUCCUGACCAGCUCUGACCCAUGGAAAUAAAGCCUGAGAAUUGAGGUUCCUCCUGGGAAGCUCUCCCCAGUGUCCUGUACUGCUGGGGGCAGUUCCUUGUCUGGGUUAGAGCACCAGCCCCUGGGGUAUUCCUUGCUAUGUGCAGUGUCAGUAUUUGGAAGCUGAGCAUUUCAAGGCCUUCAGUCUUGCAGCACUGCUCUCUCCUCUGCAAUGGCAGCUAGACUCAGUGUGGACAAGACUCAAUGCAUAUACACUUCUUUUUAGUUCUCAUCCAGAAUAAGAAAUAGGCCUUUGAGCCAUCUGAGCUGGGUCAGAGUAGCUCUGGAGGUGCGUCAUUAUGGAAAGGAGCUCACAUUCCUUCUGGAUUUAAAGCAGCUAGACAAGUGAUACAGACCACAGAAUAUUUAGAAUUACAAUUUAUUUUUCUAAUUUAGAAAGGGACCCACAAGGACCAUCAAGUCCAGCUCUUCUGUGAAUGACCCAUAUAGGGAUUGCAUUUACAACCUUGGAUUUAUAAGCACCAUGCUCUAAGAAAUUGAGCUAAUCCCUACUCUACCAUAUCAGUGUUCACCUGUGAUAUGCCUGGACUAAUUAUUUAACUCUGCCUGAGAGAUAUCCAGUACCAUUUCUGCCCUGAGAGAAAGAGUACUGGGUCCUAGCAGAGAUUCUGCAGGCUGAUAGCACACCACUGCAAAUGGACAGCAAGAGACAAAAGUUCAAGAAGAAAAGAAGGAAAAGGAACAAAUGAACACAUUUGGUAUUUUGAGAAAAAUGCUCGGACUUCAACAGUGUGGCUCAGUGGCUCUUUCAUUCACAGUGUUGUCUCAUGUUUAAUAGUCACUGGUUAUAGACAUGAGUUUAGCUGGUGACUGACAAACUUCUAUCAUCUAACAGCUUCUGUUGUUCCAUUUGUAUGAAGAUCUACCAGUCCCGAGUCAUUUGGUAGCUGGUACCUACUCCCUUUAUUUGAUUCUCACUAGUUCCUAAACUGGAGGAGAAAAUGUCAUUCUUUAUUUACCCUUAUCAUGGCACUCAUCAUUCCAUAGACAUUUAUUAUACUGCUUUGCUCUGGAACCUCCUUUAAGUUUUAAAAUUAUCCAUUUAACUGUCCUGUCUCUUCAACUAAUUAAGACCUGAAGACCUUGUCUCUUAUCAAAAGCUGUUUAGGGUUUUUUAAGAGGUUUAGUGAAAGGUCUUCUAAAGAAACAAAGCCUAUUUUUUUCCUUAUAUUAAAGGAAUCCCCUCUAUCAUUUCAGUUUAUUUACACCAACUUUAGUGUUUAUUUUAGCUUUCACUAAUUUUCUUUAAAACCAAUGUAUUGACUUACAUAGAUCCAUAGGUCUCAUAUUUCUGGGUAUUUGGUAACAGUUUAUCUGCCUUGCUGUCCAUCAAUACAAAAUAAUUUUUUAAGAGGAGGCACUGAACUGGGCUAAUACAGGUUUAUGUCCUAUUAACAUGAAGAAAAGGGAAUUGAACACACUUCUCACCUGGCAUGAGUUGCAGCCCUGAUUCUGUAUAAGAGUGUGGGUCCACCUUCAGUUUUUUGAAUUGUACCUUUUUUCUUUAGCUUUCUUUUACAUAUUCAUGAAAACAUGCUAUUAUUUUUCUUUGUACAUCACUUUGCAUUUAAAAAAAAAUAUUUUGAUUCAAAUAGAAUAAAUUGUGUUCUUCAGG